ensembl:rRNA 5S_rRNA 5S ribosomal RNA
GUCUAUGGCCAUACCACCCUGAACGUGCCCAAUCUCAUCUGCUCUUGGAAGCUAAGCAGGGUCAGGCCUGGUUAGUACUUGGAUGGGAGACAGAUCUUCAGAGAAGACUGCUCAGAGAUAAAGAGU